rnacentral:rRNA from 1 species
AUUGAACGCUGGCGGCAGGCCUAACACAUGCAAGUCGAGCGGAGCGGCGGACGGGUGAGUAAUGCCUAGGAAACUGCCUGGUAGUGGGGGAUAACGUCCGGUAACGGGCGCUAACACCGCAUACUAGUAGAUGCGCCUAGGUCGGAUUAGCUAGUUGGUGGGGUAAGGGCCUACCAAGGCGACGAGCCCUAACUGGUCUGAGAGGAUGAUCAGUCACACUGGAACGGAGACACGGUCCAGACUCCUACGGGAGGCAGCAGUGGGGAAUCGUGGACAAUUGGCGAAAGCCUGAUCCAGCCAUGCCGCGUGUAUGAAGAAGGUCUUCGGAUUGUAAAGCACUUUAAGUUGGGAGGCGUUACCAACAGAAGAAGCACCGGCUAACUUCGUGCCAGCAGCCGCGGUAAUAC